AGCCGAUGAUGAUUUAAUAAAUAUUUUCUGACACCUCGUAUGAGAGCUGCUUGCUCCUGAUUCUAACUUUUAUCUGAGGCUA
rnacentral:snoRNA from 1 species